rnacentral:rRNA from 1 species
AUGCCCACCCAGUCGAGGUCCACUUCUUCUGAAGAGGAGGCGGCCGACGAGAUGACCCUGAGGGGGUUUAUGGAUGAUGCGCCUCAGCCUAGUCAGCUUACUGAGCGGCGUCACUUCAACUUAAAGCCUAGGAAGACCUUCAACCGUUAUACACCGGAGGCAUGGAACAAGAAACAAAAGAGGACCGUUGUCGAGUCCGAGAACGAGUUUGAGGACAAGGAGGAGCCGGCACCGAAGAAGGUUCUGAGGAGGUUGAAGAGGGUCGGGGUGGAGCCAGGGACGAAGAAGGUUGUGAGGCAGGCGAGGGGGAAGAAGUAG